CUGAGUCGGGUGGCCCGGCAGGCUGCGCACCAGCUGCCGCAGCAGCACCGAGCUCCACGCCCACCACCCUGCCUGCGCGAGCGGCCCGGCUGCCGGGCCUGACCCGGUUCCGAGGCCCCGGCGCCGCUGCAGCCCCAGCCCCUCCCGGCCCGCCCGGCCGCUUCUCCUGGCGCCGCAAAGAAAAUGGACCCUGAGGCUCACCGAUCUGAGGCUCCCAUUUUCCACUUCGCCUUUAAAAAAGGGGAAAGGUGGUUCGGUUUAUCUUUAAUCUGUAAAGAAACAAUGGAGAGACUGGAUUCCACACUGGAUUUGAAACAUUGGAAUCGGUCAGUAAAUCUAAGGAGGUUCACAUCAUGACGCUGAUGAAAAAGGAACCCUAUACCUAGAUGUUCCGCAGAAACUCUGACGCGGGAUAACUUCUGGACUCCUCUGAGUCCUGUAUCUUCAAAGGCAUUGCAAUAAAG